UUAAGUUAUUAAGGGCGCACGGUGGAUGCCUUGGCACUAGAAGCCGAUGAAGGACGUUACUAACGACGAUAUGCUUUGGGGAGCUGUAAGUAAGCUUUGAUCCAGAGAUUUCCGAAUGGGGAAACCCAGCAUGAGUUAUGUCAUGUUAUCGAUAUGUGAAUACAUAGCAUAUCAGAAGGCACACCCGGAGAACUGAAACAUCUUAGUACCCGGAGGAAGAGAAAGAAAAUUCGAUUCCCUUAGUAGCGGCGAGCGAAACGGGAAGAGCCCAAACCAACAAGCUUGCUUGUUGGGGUUGUAGGACACUCUAUACGGAGUUACAAAGGACGACAUUAGACGAAUCAUCUGGAAAGAUGAAUCAAAGAAGGUAAUAAUCCUGUAGUCGAAAAUGUUGUCUCUCUUGAGUGGAUCCUGAGUACGACGGAGCACGUGAAAUUCCGUCGGAAUCUGGGAGGACCAUCUCCUAAGGCUAAAUACUCUCUAGUGACCGAUAGUGAACCAGUACCGUGAGGGAAAGGUGAAAAGCACCCCGGAAGGGGAGUGAAAUAGAACCUGAAACCGUGUGCUUACAAGUAGUCAGAGCCCGUUAAUGGGUGAUGGCGUGCCUUUUGUAGAAUGAACCGGCGAGUUACGAUUUGAUGCAAGGUUAAGCAGUAAAUGUGGAGCCGUAGCGAAAGCGAGUCUGAAUAGGGCGUUUAGUAUUUGGUCGUAGACCCGAAACCAGGUGAUCUACCCUUGGUCAGGUUGAAGUUCAGGUAACACUGAAUGGAGGACCGAACCGACUUACGUUGAAAAGUGAGCGGAUGAACUGAGGGUAGCGGAGAAAUUCCAAUCGAACCUGGAGAUAGCUGGUUCUCUCCGAAAUAGCUUUAGGGCUAGCCUCAAGUGAUGAUUAUUGGAGGUAGAGCACUGUUUGGACGAGGGGCCCCUCUCGGGUUACCGAAUUCAGACAAACUCCGAAUGCCAAUUAAUUUAACUUGGGAGUCAGAACAUGGGUGAUAAGGUCCGUGUUCGAAAGGGAAACAGCCCAGACCACCAGCUAAGGUCCCAAAAUAUAUGUUAAGUGGAAAAGGAUGUGGCGUUGCCCAGACAACUAGGAUGUUGGCUUAGAAGCAGCCAUCAUUUAAAGAGUGCGUAAUAGCUCACUAGUCGAGUGACACUGCGCCGAAAAUGUACCGGGGCUAAACAUAUUACCGAAGCUGUGGAUUGUCCUUUGGACAAUGGUAGGAGAGCGUUCUAAGGGCGUUGAAGCAUGAUCGUAAGGACAUGUGGAGCGCUUAGAAGUGAGAAUGCCGGUGUGAGUAGCGAAAGACGGGUGAGAAUCCCGUCCACCGAUUGACUAAGGUUUCCAGAGGAAGGCUCGUCCGCUCUGGGUUAGUCGGGUCCUAAGCUGAGGCCGACAGGCGUAGGCGAUGGAUAACAGGUUGAUAUUCCUGUACCACCUAUAAUCGUUUUAAUCGAUGGGGGGACGCAGUAGGAUAGGCGAAGCGUGCGAUUGGAUUGCACGUCUAAGCAGUAAGGCUGAGUAUUAGGCAAAUCCGGUACUCGUUAAGGCUGAGCUGUGAUGGGGAGAAGACAUUGAGUCUUCGAGUCGUUGAUUUCACACUGCCGAGAAAAGCCUCUAGAUAGAAAAUAGGUGCCCGUACCGCAAACCGACACAGGUAGUCAAGAUGAGAAUUCUAAGGUGAGCGAGCGAACUCUCGUUAAGGAACUCGGCAAAAUGACCCCGUAACUUCGGGAGAAGGGGUGCUCUUUAGGGUUAACGCCCAGAAGAGCCGCAGUGAAUAGGCCCAAGCGACUGUUUAUCAAAAACACAGGUCUCUGCUAAACCGUAAGGUGAUGUAUAGGGGCUGACGCCUGCCCGGUGCUGGAAGGUUAAGAGGAGUGGUUAGCUUCUGCGAAGCUACGAAUCGAAGCCCCAGUAAACGGCGGCCGUAACUAUAACGGUCCUAAGGUAGCGAAAUUCCUUGUCGGGUAAGUUCCGACCCGCACGAAAGGCGUAACGAUUUGGGCACUGUCUCAACGAGAGACUCGGUGAAAUCAUAGUACCUGUGAAGAUGCAGGUUACCCGCGACAGGACGGAAAGACCCCGUGGAGCUUUACUGUAGCCUGAUAUUGAAAUUCGGCACAGCUUGUACAGGAUAGGUAGGAGCCUUUGAAACGUGAGCGCUAGCUUACGUGGAGGCGCUGGUGGGAUACUACCCUAGCUGUGUUGGCUUUCUAACCCGCACCACUUAUCGUGGUGGGAGACAGUGUCAAGCGGGCAGUUUGACUGGGGCGGUCGCCUCCUAAAAGGUAACGGAGGCGCUCAAAGGUUCCCUCAGAAUGGUUGGAAAUCAUUCAUAGAGUGUAAAGGCAUAAGGGAGCUUGACUGCGAGACCUACAAGUCGAGCAGGGUCGAAAGACGGACUUAGUGAUCCGGUGGUUCCGCAUGGAAGGGCCAUCGCUCAACGGAUAAAAGCUACCCCGGGGAUAACAGGCUUAUCUCCCCCAAGAGUUCACAUCAACGGGGAGGUUUGGCACCUCGAUGUCGGCUCAUCGCAUCCUGGGGCUGUAGUCGGUCCCAAGGGUUGGGCUGUUCGCCCAUUAAAGCGGUACGCGAGCUGGGUUCAGAACGUCGUGAGACAGUUCGGUCCCUAUCCGUCGUGGGCGUAGGAAAUUUGAGAGGAGCUGUCCUUAGUACGAGAGGACCGGGAUGGACAUACCUCUGGUGUACCAGUUGUCGUGCCAACGGCAUAGCUGGGUAGCUAUGUGUGGACGGGAUAAGUGCUGAAAGCAUCUAAGCAUGAAGCCCCCCUCAAGAUGAGAUUUCCCAACUUCGGUUAUAAGAUCCCUCAAAGAUGAUGAGGUUAAUAGGUUCGAGGUGGAAGCAUGGUGACAUGUGGAGCUGACGAAUACUAAUCGAUCGAAGACUUAAUCAA
rnacentral:rRNA from 1 species